rnacentral:rRNA from 1 species
GAUGAACGCUGGCGGCGUGCCUAAUACAUGCAAGUCGAGCGAACAGAUAAGGAGCUUGCUCCUUUGACGUUAGCGGCGGACGGGUGAGUAACACGUGGAUAACCUACCUAUAAGACUGGGAUAACUUCGGGAAACCGGAGCUAAUACCGGAUAACAUAUUGAACCGCAUGGUUCAAUAGUGAAAGGCGGCUUUGCUGUCACUUAUAGAUGGAUCCGCGCCGUAUUAGCUAGUUGGUAAGGUAACGGCUUACCAAGGCAACGAUACGUAGCCGACCUGAGAGGGUGAUCGGCCACACUGGAACUGAGACACGGUCCAGAAUCCUACGGGAGGCAGCAGUAGGGAAUCUCCCGCAAUGGGCGAAAGCCUGACGGAGCAACGCCGCGUGAGUGAUGAAGGUCUUCGGAUCGUAAAACUCUGUUAUCAGGGAAGAACAAAUGUGUAAGUAACUGUGCACAUAUUGACGGUACCUGAUCAGAAAGCCACGGCUAACUACGUG